rnacentral:lncRNA from 1 species
UACUCCGUAGAACGAACUGACUUCUCUCCUUUUUCUUGGAUCCCUAAAGCUAUUUUAUUUUUUUUUCUAUUUUUUUCCUCACUUUCUACUGAUUUUUUCUGCUCUCGAAGCUUAUUCCCGUACCUCCUAUUUAUAGAUGAAUUUUUCAUAAUUUUUUGAUAGAAAAAUGAGUCUUAAAAUCUUUAAAAAUUAUUUUAAUCUCUUAAAAAUAUUUCUGGCUGUCGGAUCAGCUUCAGACCACCCAGAUCUGUCCGAAAAAUCCUCAUUUUAAUCCGAAUCAAAGUCGGAUCGAAUAUCGACCGUUGGAUCUGGGUUCUGAUAAAGUUCUGACUGUCGGAUCGCGCAAAAGAUCUCCUAUUCAAAGUCGAAAAUGUCCUCAGCCAUCCGAUCGCUUAAUGGAUCACUUCUGGAUCGUUAGAUCAUGCAAAAAUCCCUCUUAUAAACCAAUAAUGGAUGGUGACCAUCAGAUCUGGGUUGGGAUGAAUUUUAGUCGUUGGAUCGCAUCCAGAAUUCUUCUCUCACUGUGAGCCAUGCCCGUGGACCGCGUGAAGUUUCCUGUGGAUCGUGCCCUGGCUCUGUGGACUGACCGAUCGGUCC